rnacentral:tRNA from 1 species
AAGCCCUGGGGUGUGACAUGUGUGGUUGCAAGCCGCAAGAAGCAGAAUAAUUCCUGCCGGGGCUUC